UACGUAGGGGGCAAGCGUUGUCCGGAAUCAUUGGGCGUAAAGCGCGUGUAGGCGGCCAGGUAGGUCCGGUGUGAAAACUCGAGGCUCAACCUCGAGAGGUCAUCGGAAACCAUCUGGCUAGAGUCCGGAAGAGGAGAGUGGAAUUCCCGGUGUAGCGGUGAAAUGCGCAGAUAUCGGGAAGAACACCUAUGGCGAAGGCAGCUCUCUGGGACGGUACUGACGCUGAGACGCGAAAGCGUGGGGAGCGAACAGG
rnacentral:rRNA from 1 species